CUGGUUGAUCCUGCCGGACCUGACUGCUAUCGGAUUGAUACUAAGCCAUGCGAGUCAUUGUAGCAAUACAAGGCAGACGGCUCAGUAACGCGUAGUCAAUCUACCCUAUGGACGGGAAUAACCUCGGGAAACUGAGAAUAAUGCCCGAUAGAACAUUAUGCCUGGAAUGGUUUAUGUUUCAAAUGAUUUAUCGCCAUAGGAUGGGACUGCGGCCUAUCAGUUUGUUGGUGAGGUAAUGGCCCACCAAGACUAUUACAGGUACGGGCUCUGAGAGGAGUAGCCCGGAGAUGGGUACUGAGACACGGACCCAGGCCCUAUGGGGCGCAGCAGGCGAGAAAACUUUGCAAUGUGCGAAAGCACGACAAGGUUAAUCCGAGUGGUUUCUGCUAAAGAAACCUUUUGUCAGUCCUAGAAACACUAACGAAUAAGGGGUGGGCAAGUUCUGGUGUCAGCCGCCGCGGUAAAACCAGCACCUCAAGUGGUCAGGAUGAUUAUUGGGCCUAAAGCAUCCGUAGCCCGUUUUGUAAGUUUUCGGUUAAAUCCAUGCGCUUAACGUAUGGGCUGCCGGGAAUACUGCAUAACUAGGAAGUGGGAGAGGUAGACGGUACUCGGUAGGAAGGGGUAAAAUCCUUUGAUCUAUUGAUGACCACCUGUGGCGAAGGCGGUCUACCAGAACACGUUCGACGGUGAGGGAUGAAAGCUGGGGGAGCAAACCGGAUUAGAUACCCGGGUAGUCCCAGCUGUAAACUAUGCAAACUCAGUGAUGCAUUGGCUUGUGGCCAAUGCAGUGCUGCAGGGAAGCCGUUAAGUUUGCCGCCUGGGAAGUACGGCCGCAAGGCUGAAACUUAAAGGAAUUGGCGGGGGAGCACUACAACGGGUGGAGCCUGCGGUUUAAUUGGAUUCAACGCCGGA
rnacentral:rRNA from 1 species